rnacentral:rRNA from 1 species
AUGGCUCAGGAUGAACGCUGGCGGCGUGCCUAACACAUGCAAGUCGAACGAAGCAUACGGACCGGAGAUUCGUCGAAGGGCCGUAUGACUUAGUGGCGGACGGGUGAGUAAUGUAUGAGCAACCUGCCUUUCAGAGGGGGACAACAGUUGGAAACGACUGCUAAUACCGCGUAACGUAUCGUGAGGGCAUCCUCGUGAUACCAAAGGAGCAAUCCGCUGAAAGAUGGGCUCAUAUCUGAUUAGCUUGUUGGCGGGGUAACGGCCCACCAAGGCGACGAUCAGUAGCCGGACUGAGAGGUUGAACGGCCACAUUGGGACUGAGAUACGGCCCAGACUCCUACGGGAGGCAGCAGUGGGGAAUAUUGGGCAAUGGGCGAAAGCCUGACCCAAGCAACGCCGCGUGAAGGAAGAAGGUCUUCGGAUUGUAAACUUCUUUUAUGAGGGACGAAGGACGUGACGGUACCUCAUGAAUAAGCCACGGCUAACUACGUGCCAGCAGCUGC